rnacentral:rRNA from 1 species
CCCUUAGAUGUUCUGGGCCGCACGCGCGCUACACUGACGAAUGCAACGAGCUUAUAACCUUGGCCGAAAGGUCUGGGUAAUCUCCAAAUUUCGUCGUGAUGGGGAUAGAUUAUUGCAAUUAUUAAUCUUCAACGAGGAAUGCCUAGUAAGCGCAAGUCAUCAGCUUGCGUUGAUUACGUCCCUGCCCUUUGUACACACCGCCCGUCGCUUCUACCGAUUGAAUGGUCCGGUGAAGCGCUCGGACCGCGGCCUCUUGACGGUUUUCCGUCGAUUGGCUGUGGGAAGUUCGUUAAACCUUAUCAUUUAGAGGAAGGAGAAGUCGUAACA